GAUGCUCCAAGCAUGCCAUCUGAGUGGCUUUGAUAGCAUAGAGAUGUUAUUGCUUU
rnacentral:snoRNA from 1 species